rnacentral:rRNA from 1 species
AGGGUUUGAUCAUGGCUCAGGAUGAACGCUGGCGGUAUGUCUAAGGCAUGCAAGUCUAAGGUGCUUUUCGGAGUGCCUGGCAAACGGGAGAGUAACACAUUGGUAACCUGCCCUUAACUCAAGUAUAACUCCGUGAAAAUGGAGACAAUCCUUGAUAGUCCCUCUAGUAUACGCAAGAUUACUUGAGGGUAAAGAUUUAUCGGUUAAGGAUGGGCCUAUGGCUUAUCAGCUAGUUGGUGAGGUAAUAGCUCACCAAGGCAAUGACGAGUAGCGGGUGUGAGAGCAUGAUCCGCCUCACUGGGACUGAGACACUGCCCAGACUCCUACGGGAGGCUGCAGUCAAGAAUCUUCCGCAAUGGCCGCAAGGCUGACGGAGCAAUACCGCGUGAAGGAUGACACCCCUCGGGGCGUAAACUUCUUUUCUUAGGGAAGAAUUAGUGACGUUACCUAAGGAAUAAGCGACUGCUAACUUCGUGCCAGCAGCAGCGGUAAUACGAAGGUCGCAAGCGUUAUCCGGAAUUAUUGGGCGUAAAGAGUCUGUAGGUUGUCUGUUAAGUUUCAAAUUAAAACUCUGAGCUCAACUCAGAGAUUGUUUGAAAAACUGUCAGACUAGAGAAUGGGAGAGGUAAGCGGAAUGGCCGGUGUAGUAGUAAUAUGCAUUAAUAUCGGCUAGAACA